AUCACCAAGAUUAAAAAAAAAAGUAGUAAACCGUGCAGAACAUUGUAAAACACAUCAUUACUUCUGGAAGGAGAUUAGUUUGCGUAUCCUCGAGAAUUAUAAAAGUAGUAUAAACCAUGUGGGCAUUGUAUCAUCGAUAUUUAUAAAGUAGUAAACCAUGUGAGCAUUUCUCGUUAACAGUCUUAACAGCACUGAAUUCAGAACACAAAAAAGCUAGGGUUUUUAUAGCCGAUUCAAGCAAAAAUAAAAAUAAAAAUAAAAAUAGAAGGCAGCAGAUCGACGAGUGAUAAAUCGAAGAAGGAAGAUAGAGGGACCCAGAGAUCCUUACAUCUUCCUCUCCUCCUUAUCGAAGAUGGUGGAUUUGAGCCGCCCCAGCGAUGCCAUCCCGCUCCGCCUCGGCCUCGCCUCGUCUGAGCUCCUCAGCAGCCGCGGCCAGCGCACGAGCACCAGCCUACCGCCAGGAUGCCGCGCCGGGAUUUGGGGAAGGAUGGUACGCGAGCGCCUGGUGCGGCGGCGGUGGCGUCGACGGGGGUGUCUGAAUGAAUAGGGGCGCACUGCUGGGCGCUGGAGGGUGGCAGAAGGGAACCACGAUGUGGGCCGCGGGCCGCUCUUGGACCAACUUGCCGAGUCCGCUAGAGCCCAUUUCACGGGCUGGCCUUUUUAGCAGCGGAGCACAAAGGGGCCCCUGUACAAAGGGCCAGACCACCUCACGGGGUUCAUGGAUGACUAGGAGGGAAAUGGAAGCCGGCGUGCUGAGUUUUUGUCAGUCCACUGGGAUAUCUUGAAGGAUAGCUGGAAUGAAAUGUUUUCUGAAGCAAGGGUUGAACACUUGAAAUACCAUAAACCUUAUCAUAGACCGCUGCUGCUGCAUUUAAAAGAGAAAGUGACCCGUGUGAGCACUGGACCGGCUUUUCUCAGAUUUGAAGCUCCGCGGCUGAGACAGUUAAAUUUCCGGAAUGUGGUUGAAGAAGCCUGACAAGGCAUAGGGUUGAAUGAUCAGAAUGUUGGACUAGCAGAGAAACUGUCCAGGUACAUAAGGCUCUAAGCCAUUGGGAUAAGACCACUAGUACAAAAGAGAGCUUUAGUCCAAGGUCUGCAAUCCCAUUAGUCUCGGUUCAUUCACGAACCGGGACCUAUGGUGUCAUUGGACCCGGUUUGUGAGACCAGGGCGUCGGCCGGGCAUCGUGGGUCAUUGGUCUCGGUUCGUGUCACCCCUUUGUUCUCGGUUUCAUACACGAACCGGGACCAAUAGGCCGGAACCGUUCAUAUCCCCCUUUACUCUCGGUUGGUGGAUCAAACCGGGACUAAGUGGUGGUGGCAACCGUUCGUAUCACCGUUUAGUCUCGGUUGGUGGCUUAACCUGGGACUAAAGGCCCAAACGGUUUGCCUCCCGCGUCGUUUCCAGCGAUGAAAAGCACAACCGAAGCAGAGUCUCUCGCCAUUCUCUGUUCUUCUCCUCUCUCUUCUUCCCCUAUUUUCUUUCCUUCUCUUCUUCCACCAUGCCAACUCGCUCCAGAGAGGUGCUUGCACAUGGCAAGACCAAACUCGAUGUCGUGUACACGAACGACAGCAGGGAGGUGCCGCAUUUUCUUAGACAGUUGUAGGGAUGGCUUGACGCCGCGGUGGAGCAUGAGCAAUUCUUGGGGCUUGAUAUGGAGUACACGGCCAAUCAACAAGGUGUUGCCGUCAUCCAACUAUGUUUCAAACUCCAUGUCUUGAUCUUUCAAUGGGCGAGGUAUGUUUUGAGGCUUUCUUUGAUCCAAGGUUAUGAAAAUUGCAUAUAGUGAUCUCUCUAGGUUCCAUUGGAUAGAAAUAUACAGUUUCUAUAUAUGUUCCAUUGGAUAGUUAAUUGAGGGUUUCUUGAUCAAUUCAUAGGAUAUGAGAAUUGCAUAUGAUAGCAAUAUGUUCCAUUAAAAUCCUAUAAAGAUCAAUUUCUCUUUAGUUGUAGUGAAACAAUUUUCCGCGGUGUUCUUUGAUCCAAGGUUAUGAAAAGUGCAUAUAGUGAUCUCUCUAGGUUCCAUUGGAUAUCAAUAUGCAGUUUCUAUAUAUGUUUCAUUGGAUAGUUAAUUGAGGGUUUGUUGCAUAGGAUAGCAAUAUCUUCCAUUUGAAUCCUAUAAAGAUCAAUUUUUCUUUAGUUGUAGUGAAACAAUUUUCCUUGUUGCGGCAGUAUGUAACAUUUGUUGCAUUUUAAUUUGUUGUUGUUGUAGUAGUGACAAGCAUUGUCCAGAACUCAUGGACUUCCUUUGCAGCGGCAUAAGUUUUGCUAGCGUUGACAUAAGGAACGGCAAGCUGAAGAUGAGGCACAACUUCGGGAUUGAGAUACCAGCUGACUGUCAUAAUGAUCUCCAAGAGAAAUUCAUGCUUAGACAUGACAAGACUUCGAUGGCUCAUAUGGCAGUCGUCUUGAUCGACGAGGAGUACGCUGAUAUGAAGUCCAAAUUCCCAAGGUCUCAGCAUAGACAUUGGGAGAGGACCCCACUUGACCCUAUCAACAUUGAGUAUGCAAUAAAAGAUGCAUACGUUUCAUACGAGUUGUACCGCAAGAUUCGAAUCAUGAACUAUGGCCAGCGUCACCUCACACCAGCUUGGAGACAUUCUGAUUCAGACGAUUCACACGAGUAGUGUUCACAACGGCAAACACUUGUAUAUAUAUUUGUGCUAGCUAUUAUUAUGUACUCUUUGGAUGAGUAUUAUUAUGUACUUCUUGGACCAAUUUAUAUAUGUUUAGUUUUUGUUUGUGCCAUUAUAGUUUUCAAAUUUGAAUGGUUGAGCCCUUUCUAACUUCAUUUGCUACUUUUCAUGGUAUCAUAUAUUUCAACCACAUAUAUAUACACGAAGUGCAUCCAGUUUUUUCCGCAAACCUCUCAACUUUUUAGCACAUGCUAUGUGGGUGAAAUGAUGAUACCAUGCCAACUUUCAACCUAUUCAUAGUUCAUUUGUAUUGCUUUUCAAUUUCUGGGUCAUUUAGCUAAAAAAAUCAGUAAAUGCAUGAAAAAAACCAAAUUAACUCGGAAAGUGUUGAAAAUUGAUGAUGUGGCCUUGAAUGGUGCAUCUUAAACACGCAAAAAGUCUUGAGUUCAAAUAAGUUUAAAAAAUGAAAUCCCUUUUGUAACAGAUGAGUUUUCGUAAGAAACCCUCAUACUUCGAAAGAGAUCGUCUGAUUUGUACACGAAGUGCAUCCAAUUUUUGCCGCAACCCUCUCAACUUUUUAGCACAUGCUAUGAGGGUGAAAUGAUGAUACCAUGCCAACUUUCAACCUAUUCCGAGUUCAUUUGUAUUGCUUUUUAAUUUCUGGGUCAUUUAGCUCAAAAAAUCAGUAAAUGCAUGAAAAAUACCAAAUGAACUCAGAAAGUGUUGAAAAUUKAUGAUGUGGCWUUGAAUGGUGCAUUUUGAACACACAAAAAGUCUUGAGUUCAAAUAAGUUCAAAAAAAUGAAAUCCCUUUUGUAACASAUGAGUUUUCGUAAGAAACCCUGAUACUUCGUUAGAGAUUGUCCGAUUUGUAUACGAAGUGCAUCCAGUUUUUGCCGCAACCCUCUCAACUUUUUAGCACAUGCUAUGUGGGUGAAAUGGUGAUACCAUGCCAACUUUCAACCUAUUCAGAGUUCAUUUGUAGUGCUUUUCAAUUUCUGGGUCAUUUAGCUAAAAAAAUCAAUAAAUGCAUGAAAAAUACCAAAUGAACUCAGAAAGUGUUGAAAAUUGAUGAUGUGGCUUUGAAUGAUGCAUUUUGAACACACACAAAUUCUUGAGUUUAAAUAAGUUCAAAAAAAUGAAAUCCUUUUUGUAACAUAUCAGUUUUUUUAUUAAAACAGUCAUUUAAAAUAACCUAAAACCUACCAAAUUUAAUAUAAUGAUAAAACACUGUAAUAUUAAAUAGCAGGAAAAAGAAUCACUCAAAAAUCUAUUUUUUAGUAAAGUUAUUCACAAAAUGAAAUAAAUAAAGUAAAAAACAAAACAAAAAACUAGAUUUUUUUUAAAUCACCUACUGGGCCACCACGGCCUGAAUACGACUAGAAACCUAACUAGAGAGUUGGGCCAGGAUUCAGGCCCGCAGAAGGCCCAAUAGGCCCACAAACAGUGACAAAUUAGGCGUGGAAGUUUGCAGUUGAGAGGAGCUCGACACGGUCUGCGCACCAGCGCUUGUAAACCACUCCCGAGCUCUCUCGGCUAGCAAGGUGGGACUAAACAUCCAACCGCACCGCGGCUGUGACACGCACAUGUCUUUCGUGUCGGUUGGUGGCACCAACCGGGACCAAUGACACCCUUUCGUGUCGGUUGGUGGCACAAACCGGGACUAAAGGUCUCUUCUUCCCGCCCUUUGGGCCGCUCUUGGACCAACUUGCCGAGUCCGCUAGAGCCCAUUUCACGGGCUGGCCUUUUUAGCAGCGGAGCACAAAGGGGCCCUGUACAAAGGGCCAGCCCACCUCACGGGGUUGAUGAACGAUGAUGAUGAUGAUUCAUGGAUGACUAGCUCGGAGGGAAGUGGAAGCCGGCAUGUUGAGUGAGUUUCUGUCAGUCCAUAGGGGCACAGGGCUAUCUUGAUUGAUAGCUGGAAUGGAAUGUUUCCUAAAGCAAGGGUUGAACACUUGGAAGUUGGAAUACCACAAAUCUGAUCAUAUCCCAUUGCUGCUUUCGUGUGAGCACUAGGCCGGCUGUUCUCAGAUUUGAAGCUCGGUGGCUGAGAGGGCCAAACUUCUGGAAUGUGGUUGAAGAAGCCUGGCAAGGCAUAGGGUUGAAUGAUCAGAAUUAAUGUUGGACUAGCAGAGAAACUGUUCCAGGUACAUAAGGCUCUACACCAUUGGGAUAAGACGGUGUUGCGGAAUAGUUCAAAAAAUCUAAAGAAAGUAAAAAAGAGAGAUUGAAUCAGUAAGUAUUACUCUUUCUCGUGAGAACGUGGCACUUCUGAAAGUCCUUGCCGAGGAACUAGAACGCCUACUCAAACAAGAGGAGCUUUAGUGGGCUCAACGGAACGGAAUCAAGAGGCUCAAGUACGGCGGUAAGAAUACGUCUUAUUUUCAUAAUUUUUCUAUUGCUCGCGGAAUUAGGAAUCAUAUAAAAACAAUUGAGGGAUGAUCAGGAGGCAUGAAGACAAGGUACUACAUAUUUAAAUCCCUCGGGUUAUUUUUGCGGGUUUGUUCUCAACAAUGAUAGGUGAGCCAGAUCCUUCACUGAUUGAGAGUUGUUCCACGUGUGACCAAUGCAAUGAUGAUCUUAUGAAACCUUAUACUGCAGAAGAGGUAAAAAAGAUGUUGUUCAGUAUAGGUGAUAUGAAAGCAUGAUGGUCUACAUGCAAUCUUUUUCAAAAACUGUUGGCCAAUUCUAGGUGAUGUGUUAACUACAUAGGUGCUAAAUGCUAUCAACAACAAAUCAAUUCCUGAAGGGUGGAAUCUGGAAUGAUACUGUGAUCGUGCUCAUUCCCAAGGAUGAUGGGCCGGAAAGAAUUACCCAAUAUAGUCCCAUCAGUCUCUGUAACGUUCUGUAUAAAUUAUCUCAAAGAUGAUAGCAGGUCGAUUCAAAUCUCCUUGAUGAGAUAACUUUCCCUAUCCAGAGUGCCUUUGUUUCUAGCAGACUAAUCACUGACAAUAUUUUGUUGGCUUUUGAAAGUUUGCACAUGAUAAAGAAUAAAAAGAAUGGAAAAGUUGGGUAUUGUGCAGUCAAGUUGGAUAUGCACAAGACUUAUGAUAGGGUCGAAUGGAAGUUUCUUGAAAAAAUGAUGAUAAAACUGGGUUUCCAUGCAGAUGUUGUCGAGUUGCUAAUUUCCUGUGUAACUUCGAUAAAAUAUAAGGUGACAUAUAAUGAUCCUCUCCCNNNNNNNNNNNNNNNNNNNNNNNNNNNNNNNNNNNNNNNNNNNNNNNNNNNNNNNNNNNNNNNNNNNNNNNNNNNNNNNNNNNNNNNNNNNNNNNNNNNNCCCGUCAGCUGCCGUCGAGGCCAGCCGAGUGGGCUGGCUGUCGCCAGCCGACCAGCAACUCGACGGCCAGACGGGCCGCGUGUCGUCAGUCAGCCCCCAAAUGUCUUGGAGUGGGGUUUCCUCCGCUUUGAUAUACACAUGAGCCAUUACCCUGUCAAUGUGUGUGUGCUGCCUCGGCCAUGCUUCUCUUGGUUUCUUCAAAGCAGAGGGGUUUCGAAGCAAAGUGCAGGUAUUUACAGCCCCAAGUCAAAGUUCCCACAAGUAGCUUUCGAACUGGACAAUUGCUUCAAAGUAACUUCACAUAAUGGGGAAAAUAUCUGCACAUUUUGCUGAAAACUGAAACAACAAGCCUAGGAAUAUGUCACUGGUGUUCAUGUUGGUCGAUCUGUUAGGGAUUCACAUACCACAUACACUAGGCAGGGACUAGAGUUUAUUUCUGAGAGGCUCAGAUACUGCCAUAUUUACACUGCGAGAAAAAACAAGGCACGCCCAGAGAUAGCUGUUCCAAGACUCCCAGUACGCCUUACCUUCUGGAGCUAUCCAAAUGAACUCAUCAUCCUCAACUCAACCAGGGUUCAGAGACUUCACCAAUCUGCCGUAACGCCUGUGCAAAGCUCCGAAUCCAGGUACCUGUAUAUAUGUACUCAUUUCUAUUUAUGUAAAUGUAGUAGGGUCAGGUAAAAUCUCUUACAGCCUAUACACCGGAUAAUAUGCACACUCGGCAACAAAUGCACCCAUUUCAGCACCUCACCGGGCCGCUCUGCUCGCGAAACACGAACAAACACAACGCACGCACUCACACCUAUAACACCUGCUUUCUUAUCUGCACAGCGUAAAAGCAAGCGCAAGCCAAGUUCCUCGCUUGCUGUUUGCGGCCUAGAAAAGCUGGAAAAAGAGGCUUGUCGAACCGUCGCCGAAUGACCGGAGGUCUGCUGGCUUCACCAGUGCCCUGCACAGCGGGCAGGUGCGCUCCCUCUCAAACCUGCCAUCAUCCAGAUAAAAAUGUUACAAAGGAAAUGCUAUCAGACAAUCUGAAUGUUGAGACUAUAAAACAAAAACUGUANNNNNNNNNNNNNNNNNNNNNNNNNNNNNNNNNNNNNNNNNNNNNNNNNNNNNNNNNNNNNNNNNNNNNNNNNNNNNNNNNNNNNNNNNNNNNNNNNNNNGAAUUCAAUGUUGCUGAAAUUUUACUUCACUCCUUCAGUGUAACACUAAAGUAGACCCACGAGAGCAACAUGCAUCUCUCACAGCUACGAAAGCGAUGUGAAAAUGAAACAUGGGCACACAUAAAUACAGAUGGCGCACCUACAUUCACUUGUAGUCAAAGCACAUCAAGGGUCGGAUUUGCAACGAUUUGCUACUCCAGUACUAAUGGCUUUGUUACAAGAUCCGUGCUCGUUUUUUCCCUGAAAGAGCAUGUAAGGACCUCUUGUAGCCACUCAGAUAACCAGAUCAUGGGAACAUGCCUUCAAGGAACUCUUGGAAACCUUCAUCCUUGUUUCCUGAACUCCUUGAAGAAGCUCCCUUCCGAUCUGCAGCAUUUUGCAAGAGUAAGUUUCAUGCAACUGGAAUCUAUGGCAUCCCUAGAUCCCCAAUAAACAAACACAAGAUGCAUGCAUGAGCACAGAAUAAUCGACAAAGCCCAAGGCUGCCGCAGGUUCUGGUGAGCCCAAUGCAGGCAUAUGUUCUACUGAGUGCAGAGCCAUGACAUUUGCGUAAAUGAAUAAACACAAGAUGUGUGUUCUAAAUAGGCCUCGUAAAUGAAUAAACACAAGAUGUGUGUUCUAAAUAGGCCUUAUUUGCAAGGCCUGAGAUCAGCCGUGACCUUGGGCCCAUUCCCAGGUGGAAACCACACACACAAUUACCCUGAGUCAAGUGAACUCAACAUUUAGAUGCCAAAUAUCUCGAAAAGUGUUGCUCGGGUUUCAGGAAAAAGGAUGGUGCCAAUAGGCCACAUGGAUGUUAUAAAACCCUAUAUGAGAUUUGGCUGCCUGAGAAGUACAGUAUCCAAGCAAGCCAUUAACUAAGCUUUAGACCCCUGCCCCACAACCCAACGAAGUACAUGACCAAUAUAAAAGGCGGAUGCAAUCAGCUGUACCUUUUUUCUUUCUUCUAUCUUUCUUGGCCUCAUCCUCUGAGGUGUCAUCACUUUCUUCAUGUUCUCUGCAGUUUGAACAGAUUCAAAGAAUGUAGUAUAACAAAAUAAUGGGGUUAGACAAGAACAAGAACUUAAGAUACCUCUUUCUCUUGUCCGGGUCUUUCAACUCAAUUUCCUUUUCACUGUAGGGAUCCUCCUCCUUCUCUUUCUCUUUCUCUUUCUCCUUUAGCCUCUUAUAAGCAAGCUUUUCUGCACAUCUUUCAUAAUGUACUACAAUCAGGCUAAAUAAUCAAUUGGGAACUUGCUUGAACAAAAUGAAAGCACAAAAAGACAAAGCAAGAUUCAGUGGUCCAAGGAAAAGUUAAAGAAAUAUAACUAUCAUGGUAAGAAAGAGCAGUGCCAAAUUUGGUUCAAACAGAUCCUAUUAUGGAACCGUGGAUUCACGAACCUCUUGCAAGCUACCAGCUUCACUAGUGCUUGUUUCUGCUCCCCUGCUUCAACAUAAGAAAAAUUCACCUGAAAAUGAUAAGAGAAAAAUGUAAGUGCUACAAAUACAGCUGAAACGGUUCUUUAUAAAAUCUGUUUUGUGUUUUACACAUUUUAGCAUGAUCAAUAGGAUUUUAGUGAAGAACAUACCUCAUAACUACCUAGCCCAUGUUUUUCAUCACAAUGCCUAUUGCCACAGAUAAAUUGCCCUGCAAAAGAGCAUAUUCUGACCAUUGCUAAAGAUUUUGUAUUGAUUCUGAACAAGAAAUAUACUAUCGUUUUUAAGUAAAUAGACAAUUUUCAGAAGAAAAAAAAUCUGUAUUGUCUAACACCUUAGUAUAAUUAGAAAAGAACACUACAAUGAUGGCUUCCAAAAUUUAGAGAUUCAAUUAUGAUUUGUUUUUGAGUUUGGUGAUAAUUUGGUGCAAGCACCCCAACUGCACUCAGACAUACAGCUAAAUAAAAGAAAAGUAUGCCUAAUAGUGUAAAGAAAUAAAGCUUUAAGCUCAGUAACCUUUAAUUGCAAUAUCUUUAAAUACCCUUCUAUGUUCUAGACUUCCAUUCGAAUGGUCUGUUAAUAGCAAUAGAAUACUCAUACAAUUUAAGUUCAGUUAUACUUUUCAGAGAAAUCAUUUUAGAUGGAAAUUAAUAGACGGGAUUGCUUAAGAAUACCUUUGCCAGAUAUCACUUCCUUUUCUGUUCUCCAUCUCAAUCCAAUCUGCAGGAGAAUAUACCCUUGUAAGAUGGGAUUCAUAUCCAAAACUGCAGAUGAUUUUAGAAGGAAAAAAAAAACUGGUUGGGCAUCCAUUCAUCAUCCUGCCACUGAAAAUGCACGACUGCCAUAUCGUUAAUAGUUGUUCACUUCUGUUUGGCAAACAUGGUUCUUGCAAUAUUCACAUUGAUGCAAAUUCACAACCAAAAAAAUAAUUUUCUAGUUAUUCCUGCAUGUGCAUUAUUUUUAUGAAAUAUGAAUUCAUUAAGGUCCAAAGAGUAUCACAAUUGGAAGGACACUUUUUUUUUCGGGAAAACGCAAAGGCUUGCGUUUCAUUUCAUUGAUAAGGGAGAGAAUAUGUACAGUACAUGCCUACGAGAAGGAGGCUACAGGGGCUCAAAAGAAAGAAAAGAAAAGGAAAAGGAAAGAAAGGCCUGCACAAGACUAGUGCACAUCCCAGGUAGGCGGCACAAUCGUCCCAAGGCCGGUAGCUCCAGCCUGAAUCCAGAGGGAGGCUUCCUCUCUGAUCUUUGCCGAAAGCACGGAGUGGAGGGCCGUUCGCCGUCGAACACACAUGAGUUGCGGUGCUUCCAAAGCAUCCAUGCUGUGAGGAGGGUUGCCGUGGCGAGGCCCUUGCGCAUAGCUUUAGGCGUGUCCAGCUUGGUUUGCAUCCACCAGUCGUUUAGGGAGGCCUCUUGGUCUGGCGGCCGGCAUGUCAAACGCAGCCAGGAGAGCGUGUCAUGCCACACCUGCCGCGAGAAGGGGCAGGUGACUAGCAAGUGGCGCAUCGUUUCAUGCUCUUGGUCGCAAAGGACACAGCGUGGAUGGUGCUGAAGGCCGCGGCGGCGCAGACGGUCCGCUGUCCAGCACCUGUCUAGAUUGGCAAGCCAUUGGAAGAACUUGACGCGGGGUGGUGCCCAGCUCUUCCAGGUUUCCAUGCAUCGCAGCUAGUGGAGCCCUGGAAGGUGACGAGGUACGCACUGCGCGCAGAGUAGCAGCCAUUUGAAGUCCACCUCCAGAUUAGCUGGUCCGGUCCCUCGGUGAGAACAACGCCUUCGGUUUCGCGCCACAGCAGCAAGUAUUGGCCUAUUUCAUGGAUGCCUAGGUGGCCGUGGAUGUCUCUAGCCCAGGUGUGGUUGAGGAGGCCUUCUGCAAUGGUGCGCUGCUUGCGCCGUCGUUUGGGGAUGCAAGCGUAUAGCCUUGGCGCGACCUCCCCGUUCUGCCAUCCCCCACGGCCAGAAUUGGAAGGACACUAUUGUUGCCUUUAGAUGUCCCUCCAAAAUUAAUGCCAUGCAUUCUUUUGUAUAUCAUUCAAGACUAAAGGAGAAACUACAUGUUUACAACACGAAACAGUAUUCAUUGACAUAGGGUUAAAGCACCAUACCUUGCCUUUUUUAUACUGGGUCAUGUCAGCAAUGCAAUACCUGCCUCAAGUUAAGGACCCUAAGCACAUUAUAGUUAAGUCUUACAAAAUUAAAUAGAACAACACACACACAUCAAAUACAGCCCCCAUUUAUACAAGCAAUGAUCAAUACUGAUUGACAGAAAGCACAAGUUCAUGAGGCAUUGAGGUGAAAUCAUGAAGCACUUAAGUCUCCAUGCAGAAGAGCAUACCAAUACAGAGGACAGGAAGAGAUAUAUGCUCUUUACAGGUUUAAGAUACAUUCACAUGCCUUAUGCAUAUUUACAUUACCAAACUAUUAAAUAAUUAUAUGUAAUGACAUUAGCAUCAGCAUACAUGAACUUGUUAUUUCACAAAAUUAUCUGAAAAAUAUGCCAUGUACUGACAUUUCCUCAUAGAAAUAACAUUGCAAUCCAAAAUAUACUAAAAAUGGAUACUCUUUAAAAAGCUUGUCAUAGUAACGUUUGACCAGCCUCUUCUCCCAAGUUGAAUCCAUGUCAUCCUCCUCGGAAAGAAUGAACCUUUCAAAUGUUAGAAGAAGAAAAGUGAGGCAUGUAUGAAAUUAUGAGUUUCCUAAAACCACAGGCAUAUGUUAAUAGGACGUGGUUCAGACCUGUAUCCUUCUCUCAAUGUAUCUUUAUCAGUUUUGAUGGGCAGACUGUUAUCCACAUUUUUCGUGUGGCCAUAAAACUGAACUGUUGAAAGGUAAAGACAUGUAUCACCGUAUCAGUGGCACACAGAAAAUGAAUGAUGGAUAUCUUGUACGCUAAGGUUAAAAGAAAUGUAAGGUUGAGUGUCCGAUCUCCAAUUCUUUCUACAACGAAGGGAUCUAUUGUUUCAUUCCACUAUUUUGUGAUAUUGGGAUGCAUUAAAAGAAAAGUUUUGUAAUGAAGCGGUGAUCUAUCUAUGUGUUGACAUUUGGCAAACAAAAAUGCACCAUUGCACAGGAUUGGUUAUCAAUAUAUUGGAGACCCGGACAUAAAUCCUAUGUUAAAGAUGCAUAUUAGAAUGUUAUCUAUAUUAAGCUAGGUAACAGGUUACAGUAGAAAUACACAAUCCAUGUAUGGAUGAAGGUAGCCCCCAAUUAUUCCUUAAGUAGAGUGGACUGUUCAUCAUUCAGUUUCUUUGGGAAACCAAGGCUGAGCAAAUAAAUAGCUCAUUAUAUGCCAUUGCCCCAGUUUCCAUUUCACUAUGAAAGGGCAACUCAAUCAUCUAUCCACACGUUUACAACGGGACAAGGUAACAAUAUGUCACAAUUAAAGGCACUACUGAAGCAGGCUCAUCAACAUACUAAAUGAUUGCAAUCAACUACAAUGGCAGAAGCCUACACACGUGACCAGAUUCUAGUGCGAUGGUUGCUCAAUUCCACACAGAAUUCAGCAUUUGAAAUAACUAGCAAUAACAGGAGCACGAGAAGGCUGCGGGAUCGAUUUUGGAGAAUCGAUGGCUAUGUUUGUAUGUGGAGUUGCAGCAGACCUGCAAGUGUUUUUUGCAUACUUAAAAGUUACGACUUAAACGUGUCCCCUGUUUUUGAACACUAUUAGUGCUACCAAUUAUAAUUUGGCUUGCCGAACUCAUGAUUCAUUACCAUGCCAUUUUAUUCCCAAACCAUUUUGCUGAACUAACACAAUUCCAGAAUCAAUCAGCAAAAAGGGGUAGUCGUUAUGUUACCUGUCUAUGGGUUGACAUUGGGCAAAAAAAGUAAAUCCCAUAUUAAAAAUCUAUAUUAGAAUGUUGUCCGUAUUAAGCUAGCUGACAAGUUACACAUAGAAAUACAAAAUCCAUGUAUGGAUGAAGGUAGCCCCCAAUUAUUCCUCAAGUAGAGGGGACUGUUCAACAUUCAGUUCCUUUUGGAAACCAAGACGAAGCAAAUAAAUGACUCAUUAUAUGCCACUGCCCCAGUUUCCUUUUCAGCAUUGAGACAAGGUACAAAUAUAGUAUUAGACUUAAAGCUACUCUAAAGCAGGCUCACCAGCACAAUGAAUGGUUGUGAUCAAUUACAAAGCCAGAAGCAUAUAUAGUAGUUGUGGUGUGUUGGAUGCUGAAUUCCAUACAGAGGUCGGCACUUGAGCUAACUAGUAAAUAGAAGCACAAGAAGUCAGCCGGGCCAAUUUUGGAGCACCAUGCUGAGUAUGUUUGUAUGUGUGGUUACAUCAGAAAUGCAAGUUUUUAGUGGACUUGCAAGUUACAAAUUUUGCCUGUUCUUUGAACCCCCACCACCAAGUAUAAUUACGUUUAUACCUAACUCAUGAUUUCGUUGCCAUGCUAUUUUAUUCUUUCAACCAUAACCAACACAAAUCCAGAGUCAAUCAGAAAAAAAAUGGGGCAAAGAUAAUAACAGCAUGCUUUUGUAGGAAACAACAGCAGCAGCAGAUCAUACCAUAAUCCUUCAUGAACUUCUUAUGGCGAUCGUACGCGUUGAGCCCCCGGAUGUGCGACUGGUACUGCCUGCAUCCAUCAAUUCGACAUCCACAGUUGUGAAGCAACAAUUCAGCCUAUGAAGCACAAGCAAACUAACGAAAAGACAUGCCCAAUGGCCAAAAACCAUUGCCUUCGAUUAGCACACUAGGAUACCCUAACGUGUACAAGGCGAUUAAGGGUCAAGAAGUAAAUUACAGUUCGCGGACACGUUUUUUUUUUUCAUAUCACCAAGAUUAAAAAAAAAAGUAGUAAACCGUGCAGAACAUUGUAAAACACAUCAUUACUUCUGGAAGGAGAUUAGUUUGCGUAUCCUCGAGAAUUAUAAAAGUAGUAUAAACCAUGUGGGCAUUGUAUCAUCGAUAUUUAUAAAGUAGUAAACCAUGUGAGCAUUUCUCGUUAACAGUCUUAACAGCACUGAAUUCAGAACACAAAAAAGCUAGGGUUUUUAUAGCCGAUUCAAGCAAA
rnacentral:lncRNA from 1 species